UGAGUAACCUGCCCUUCACUCUGGGAUAACUCCGGGGAAACCGGGGCUAAUACUGGAUAUGACUCGAACAGGCAUCUGUUUCGGGUGGAAAGAUUUAUUGGGUGGAGGGAUGGACUCGCGGCCUAUCAGCUUGUUGGUGAGGUAAUGGCUCACCAAGGCGACGACGGGUAGCCGGCCUGAGAGGGGCGAUCGGCCACACUGGGACUGAGACACGGCCCAGACUCCGUACGGGGAGGCA
rnacentral:rRNA from 1 species